rnacentral:rRNA from 1 species
GCACCAGACUCCUACGGGAGGCAGCAGUGAGGAAUAUUGGUCAAUGGGCGGAAGCCUGAACUAGCCAAGUCGCGUGAGGGAAGAAGGCCCUGCGGGUCGCAGACCUCUUUGGACGGGGAGCAAGGCCGCCGACGUGUCGGCGGAAGGAGAAUACCCGUAGAACAAGCAUCGGCUAACUCCGUGCCAGCAGCCGCGGUAAUACGGAGGAUGCGAGCGUUAUCCGGAUUUAUUGGGUUUAAAGGGUGCGCAGGCGGCACGGCAAGCCGGCGGUGAAAUCGCGGGGCUCAACCCCGCCCAGCCGUCGGAACUGCCGGGCUAGAGUGGGCGAGAAGUGCGCGGAAUGCGUGGUGUAGCGGUGAAAUGCUUAGAUAUUGCGCAGAACUCCGAUUGCGAAGGCAGCAUACCGGCGGCGAUCUGACGCUGAGGCACGAAAGCGUGGGUAUCGAACAGGAUUAGAUACCCUGGUAA